GAUGAACGCUGACAGAAUGCUUAACGCAUGCAAGUCUUUGGCGAAGCUGUGCUUGCACAGCCUAGCCAAGGCGGACGGGUGAGUAACGCGUAAGGAACUUGCCCUGCAGUCAGGGAUAACAGACGGAAACGACUGAUAAGACCUGGUAAAGUCAGGCGGACUCAUGUCCAGCCUGAUGAAAAGAGAUGCUGCAGGAGAGCCUUGCGUCCUAUUAGCUUGUUGGUGGGGUAACGGCCCACCAAGGCGAUGAUAGGUAGCCGGCCUGAGAGGGUGGACGGCCACAAGGGGACUGAGAUACGGCCCUUACUCCUACGGGAGGCAGCAGUGGGGAAUAUUGGACAAUGGGGGCAACCCUGAUCCAGCAAUUCUGUGUGCACGAUGAAGGUUUUCGGAGUGUAAAGGGCUUUCAGCAGGGAAGAAAAAAAUGACGGUACCUGCAGAAGAAGCGACGGCUAAAUACGUG
rnacentral:rRNA from 1 species